UACAGAGGUCUCAAGCGUUGUUCGGAUUCAUUGGGCGUAAAGGGUGCGUAGGUGGCGAGGUUAGUCAGGUGUGAAAUCUCGGGACUCAACCCCGAAACUGCACUUGAUACUGCCUUGCUAGAGUACUGGAGAGGAGAUUGGAAUUUACGGUGUAGCAGUGAAAUGCGUAGAUAUCGUAAGGAAGACCAGUGGCGAAGGCGAAUCUCUGGACAGUUACUGACACUGAGGCACGAAGGCCAGGGGAGCAAACGGG
rnacentral:rRNA from 1 species